ACAUAUAAUCUAAAACUAUUAUUUUUUUUAUUUUUUUUUAUAUCUAGGGUAUUAGGGUCAUUUUACCUAUUAAAUGAAACAUUUUGUUCAUUUUCUUCUUUGUAAUCUAUUUUUGUGACCAAAACCUAAAAAUAGUCUAUUUAGAAGAAUUUCCCAAAAAUUGUUGUUUGGAUUAAUAAAAUUGAUUUAUAUGUUCACACUAAUUUAAUUAUAUAUGUAAUAAUUAUUGAUUUUUAGUUAUACAAUAUUUAUUAUUUAAUAAUAUAUAAAAACAUAUAGUACAUUAAAUAAUUUUUAUAUAUAAAGUUUAUUCCGUUCGAGACGCGGAUCUUGACCGGAAAGGGAUUUGGCUUUGGCUUUGGUUCGAUGUCAAGUAAAAUAGAAAAAGGGUGAAAUAGAAAUUCGGUUAUAUUUUGAACCAAAAAAAAAGAAAUUCGGUUAUCUGGUGUUAAAUAAAUUCGGUUAUCUAAGUUGACUCUACCAACACAAACACACACAGAGAAUUUCCCAGCCCGAGAUCUUGCAACUCCUAGCUCUCUUCACCUUCUCGUAAAUCUAUUCCCCGAUCAGAUUUGGCCUCUUCUGGAUAUGUCAAUGGCGAAAGAUACCCCCUCGCCACCGCCCGAAGUGCCCUUUCUCUUAGAUUCCAAAAGUCAAUUGCUGAUUGUGUAAAUAUAUAUAUUAGUUUGUGGAGGUGUUUUGUGAAAUAUCCGGCAAAGACUACCGAUUCACGGCUGGGAUCAAGGCCGAGUUUGCUGUCUCCGUCAUCAAUCGGAAACCUGGUUCCUCCAAAUCCAAAGCACUUUACAUCGAAGCGGCAAAGGAAGGUGAAGAGCCUAUCAGUUUCGGUGAUGGUGCUUCUCUUGUGAGUUACAGACAUGGUUGGAGGCUUAAGACAGUGAUUGCCGAUUCUGAUUUGCCUGGAACUGAGAAAGAGGAGGACACUUUCCAGAGACAGUUUCCUUCUUUCUUAUCAACUGUAUCUAUCUUAAACUAUAGUUUAUAUAAGGUGCUUUAGAACUCUUCUAAAUAACAUUUAGAACACGUACACAACUACAGCAUACUAUGAAGUUUUUUUAAUUUUUACAAAAUUAAAAUUAUAACUAUUUAAAAUAUCUUCAAUUAAUAUAUAUGGGAUGUAGGCUUACCACUUACAAAGGGCCCAUUUUGUUUUAAGUUGUAACGGAUCUUGUGUC